rnacentral:rRNA from 1 species
CAAGGGCGAAAGCCUGAUGGAUUACACCGCGUGCAGGAUGAAGGCUUUCGGGUCGUAAACUGCUUUUACUAGUGACGAAUAUGACGGUAACUAGAGAAUAAGGAUCGGCUAACUACGUGCCAGCAGCCGCGGUCAUACGUAGGAUCCAAGCAUUAUCCGGAAUUACUGGGCGUAAAGAGUUGCGUAGGUGGCAUUGCAAGCAGAACAUGAAAUCGUGUGGCUCAACUAUACGGCUAUGUUCUGAACUGCAAAGCUAGAGAACAAGAGGGGUAGAUGGAAUUACUAGUGUAGGAGUGAAAUCCGUAGAUAUUAGUAGGAACACCGAUAGCGUAGGCAGUCUACUGGCUUGUUUCUGACACUAAGGCACGAAAGCGUGGGGAGCGAACGGGAUUAGAUACCCCGGUAGUCCACGCCGUAAACGAUGGAUGCUAGCUGUGAGUCGUAUCGACCCGACUCGUAGCGAAGCUAACGCGUUAAGCAUCCCGCCUGUGGAGUACGAACGCAAGUUUAAAACAUAGAGGAAUCGACGGGGAACCGCACACAGCGGUGGAGUGUGUCGUUCUAAUUCGAUGCUAAACGAAGUAACUUACCAGGCUUG